rnacentral:rRNA from 1 species
UGCGUAGGCGGUCGGCAAAGUCUGAUGUGAAAUCUCCGGGCUCAACCCGGAAACUGCAUCGGAUACUGGUCGGCUAGAGGAUUGAAGGGGGGGCUGGAAUUCUCGGUGUAGCAGUGAAAUGCGUAGAUAUCGAGAGGAACACCAGUGGCGAAGGCCAGUCCCUGGACAACUCCUGACGCUGAGGCACGAAAGCUAGGGGAGCAAACA